ensembl:lncRNA
AUGGAUCUUUCCAUGCAUCCCUCAAAGCCUGGCUUUCACCUUCUGCUGUUUCACCAGGGAGGAUCUAAUCACGGAAAUCUGGACAUCCUGGCAAUUUCAAGCAAAUGGAUCUUGAGUUCAAAUGCCAGACAAGCCAUUAGAAACUUUGUUUUCAAAUCACAGACCCGUCCUCGUGAGAGAAACUCUGCUCUGAAGAGCGCAUGUCACAGUCCCAUCCGGACACACCUCGCCAUAGCACACAGAAGGGAAUCACACUGCAUUCAACAGCACCGCCACUGGGAGAUGCUUAAAGCCCGGAAUUGGCGACCUGGCUCAACCCUGUCAUACCUCUGUGAAACAAAAAGAAGGGAGAUGGGUUUAUUCCCAUUUUAUAGGUAGAAAAACUAUAGGAGAGAAACCAAUGGUAAUUUUCUCUUCCAAGGCACUAGAGGUCAAAAUUAGAUAAAACUGAGAACAAACAUUUACUCUUUUGCUUCCUCCAGUAGAUUACAUGGAGGCAUUUUCUAAUUUCCACCUAUCUCCUUCCUACGUGGAAUACAUUGCAACCUCUUUCCCAACUGACCCGCUUCAGCUCCCAAAUCAAGGAUGGUGGAAGAACAGAAGUUUGCAACGUAAAGGUUCAGAAGGAAGUUAGAAUAAAGAACAUUCUAAUAGCGAGUCAGUGCUCUGACUUUCACAGAAGUGUAAUCACAGCCUCGGAUUCAACUCUUCUCAACAGUAACCUCACCAAAGAAAUGCCUCAGGUAUCAUCUGUUUCAUUUUAUAAAAGAAGACGCAGAGAUGUAGAGGUAGGAGAUAAGCUUGCGAUACAGCAGAUGAAAGUGGCAGGACCUGGAGGACAAAGCCCCGCUCUCAGCCCCAGCUCCAGAGCUCCUACCACUGAAAUGAUUUACCAGUGGGUCUGGGAGAGCCGUCGGGCUUGAAGGUCUUUCUCUCAUUUGUCUCUGGGUUAUAUGGAUGUGAUGCCUCUUUUAUAAAAGAACAUUUGCCCUCACUCCAAAAACUUUGCAGGACCCAGUGUUUGCUCCUUUAAAAAAUCCAAAAUUCAAGUCCAGGAGCUACAGAAAAGUAAAAGUAUAAGAGGCAGAGCUGAACAGGAACAUGAAAUAUAACAUAUCAGAUAAGCUUAGAUUAUUAUAAACCUAGAUUAUUAUAGCUUCUUCAGGUUUUUUAUAAGUAGGGUUUUUUUAACUCAUAAGAAAUAUUCAUAUAUACAUAUAUAUAGACACUCCCUUAUAAUAAACACAGAAGCACACUGUUCCCAGAAUCUUUGGCUUGGCUGAAAUAUGAUGAUAUUCUUAGUUCUUCAUAUGGGGGGUGGAAAAAGCCUCUGAGCGCUCCAGGCUUUUUAUAGCUCUGGCUCAUGGGCGGCUUUUGCUGCAGUACAGCCCUGGAUAGCAAAGGAGCCAAAUAAUGCUAAUGGGGCAAACAGAAUGUAAUUGCUUAUGUGUGCUGGUUAUAUCCUGAAACAAAUUGUUUCUUAAUGCUGAGGUCAGACAGGGUUUAAUUAGGAGAAAUACAAUUGGUGUAAAAUUCUGCAGCAGGCUGCUUGUUUGGUGUCAUGCCAAGUCAACAUCUAGUCUCUCCAAAUGGAAAUUUUCAUUAGAGGCCAUUGGCAGCCCUAGUUAGGCUGAGUUUCAACUAUUCCAAGUCUCCUGGUAAUGUAAACCUGAAACUCAGCAUAUCUCCUGCCUAAUAAAGGGCUGUCCCUCUUGCAUUUACUAGCAGUUGAGCAUGUGCACACUGUCUUUCUCUGUUAUUCACAUACCCUGCCGCCCCAGUCUCCCCACUAGCAAAACGCAUUUUCCACGGGAACUGGGUUCACUGAAACGGUUUUCCUCUCUCCUACCCCAUUUAACCUCCUUCCCUGUUCCCAUGUUCAUAAUAAUCUUCAAUCAGCAUAUCUUACUUCAGAAAUAUUUUCCUAUGCAUCAAUCCAUCUAAUCUUAUCGCAGAACCCUGAAAGGUGAAUGGUUUUAUAUUUAUAGGUAGGAAACCCAGCAAAGGUCAUGUUAAAAGUAGGUCUCAGACCUCUUGGUUUUGAGUCCUGGGCUUUGGCUAAACCACAGAACUCAGGGCUGACACAUGCUGAGCCAUCCACAUUCGCCCAUGGAAAUGAACAGGCACAAAACCAUCUCUGUUUAUUCUUUUCUUUUUGCUUCAUUUUAUGUGCUAUCUAGGAAGAAGUAAGAGUGAAAGGUGUUAUUAUUCAAAGCCGCACAAAUUUCCCCAAGACUUUGCAAACACUCUUGAUGAGAUGUGACCCUUUCUUUUGUGUCCCUCUUUUGAGACAUGUCUUUUCAUACACUCCACGACCUCAGUGGAUGCCUGCAGCACUCACACUGCGAUUUACAUUCAUUUGAAGAGCGUAGAUCUUCACACCUUCAAGGAUAAGGUUUUAUCAGUGUUUCUAAUAUAAAUCUUAUGUCUCAAAAGUUGUUUAAUUUAUUUGGAAAAUUCUGCUUCUAGGUUUCUAUUGUUUCUCUCUCUUCCUCUCUCUUUUCCUUUCAGCUGGAGGCGGUUUUCAUUACAGUGACAAAGACCCACCAUGGUAAAGAAAAUUGCACAGAGAGAUCCCAAAAAUCCAGCUACCCAAUAGAAAUCUAAGUCAUUUUCCCCUGCAGUAUCAUAUCAGCAGUAACCAUCAUGGGUUUCAAGACAUACGGGACUAAGUUUUCAUUUUGAUAUGUGACUCUGCUUUGCCGAGUCCCAGACGCCUUGUGAGCUGAGCCACAUUUCAUUUAGGUGCUGGGCCUCUGGGCCCAUGAUAAUGUGCCCAGUUAGGGUCAAGGUAAAGCUCUAUGCAGGGCAAGCAAUUACUAAGCAAUCCCUCUUCCUCAGCCCUGCUGAGCCAGGAGGCCAUGGGAGAUGCCUUUGAAAGGGGAGCUUUCUUUUCUUUUCUUUUUUUUGAGACGGAGUUUUGCUCUUGUUACCCAGGCUGGAGUGCAAUGGUGCGAUCUCGGCUCACUGCAACCUCGGCCUCCUGGGUUCAGGCAAUUCUCCUGCCUCAGCCUCCUGAGUAGCUGGGAUUACAGGCACGCGCCACCAUGCCCAGAUAAUUUUUUGUAUUUUUAGUAGAG